ACUCCCCAAGCUGGAAUCCCUACUAAUCCCGAUCACCAUCCCCCCGUGAAUACCUUCCCCCCCUUCUACACACCCCCCCUCACACCACCACACUUUCUAACACCCCAACUCCCUCACGUAACCUUUUACGACCCACCCCCCCAACGUGCGACACAUCAUUCGCGUCAACUCCUAACAACCUACCCCUAUCCGAACGUGCGCCUCCAUCACGUCCUUUCUAACGAUAUUAUACCGAAUAUAAGACCUUCGGUCUUAUAAACAGAACCUUCCCUGUCUUCUUUACUUUUCAACGAUCAUUCCUUCCAAACCUCUUCUUUCAAAACUACAUAACAGUACACAUCACAUUCAACUAAUACAACAUAUCACAUAGUCAUUCUUUUUAACCCUUAACUUAGAAACGCCCCACCGUCGAUGCCUUCCCACUAGGACCCCAUGAACGACCGGACCAACACCCA
rnacentral:rRNA from 1 species